UACGAAGGGGGCUAGCGUUGCUCGGAAUCACUGGGCGUAAAGCGCACGUAGGCGGAUUGUUAAGUCGGGGGUGAAAUCCUGAAGCUCAACUCCAGAACUGCCUUCGAUACUGGCGAUCUUGAGUCCGGGAGAGGUGAGUGGAACUCCGAGUGUAGAGGUGAAAUUCGUAGAUAUUCGGAAGAACACCAGUGGCGAAGGCGGCUCACUGGCCCGGUACUGACGCUGAGGUGCGAAAGCGUGGGGAGCAAACAGG
rnacentral:rRNA from 1 species